GGUUAAGUGACUAAGCGUACAUGGUGGAUGCCUUGGCAGUCAGAGGCGAUGAAGGACGUACUAACCUGCGAUAAGCCGUGAGCAGUCGGUAAGAGACAUUACGACUCACGGAUUUCCGAAUGGGGAAACCCACUUAGCAUAAGCUAGGUAUCGCUACGUGAAUACAUAGCGUAGCGAGGCGAACCGGGAGAACUGAAACAUCUAAGUACCCCGAGGAAAAGAAAUCAACCGAGAUUCCCUCAGUAGCGGCGAGCGAACGGGGAUUAGCCCUUAAGCAUCUUGGAAGUUAGUGGAACGGUCCUGGAAAGGCCGGCGAUACAGGGUGAUAGCCCCGUACACGAAAACAACCUUGAUGUGAAAUCGAGUAGGGCGGGACACGUGACAUCCUGUCUGAAUAUGGGGGGGACCAUCCUCCAAGGCUAAAUACUCCUGACUGACCGAUAGUGAACCAGUACCGUGAGGGAAAGGCGAAAAGAACCCCUGUGAGGGGAGUGAAAUAGAACCUGAAACCGUGUACGUACAAGCAGUGGGAGCCCUUCGGGGUGACUGCGUACCUUUUGUAUAAUGGGUCAGCGACUUACAUUUUGUAGCGAGGUUAACCGUAUAGGGGAGCCGUAGGGAAACCGAGUCUUAACUGGGCGUCUAGUUGCAAGGUGUAGACCCGAAACCGGGUGAUCUAGCCAUGGGCAGGUUGAAGGUUGAGUAACAUCAACUGGAGGACCGAACCCACUAACGUUGCAAAGUUAGGGGAUGACCUGUGGCUGGGGGUGAAAGGCCAAUCAAACUCGGAGAUAGCUGGUUCUCCCCGAAAGCUAUUUAGGUAGCGCCUCGGACGAAUACUAUUGGGGGUAGAGCACUGUUUGGGCUAGGGGGUCAUCCCGACUUACCAACCCCAUGCAAACUCCGAAUACCAGUAAGUAAUAUCCGGGAGACACACGGCGGGUGCUAACGUCCGUCGUGAAGAGGGAAACAACCCAGACCGCCGGCUAAGGUCCCAAAGUUCUGGUUAAGUGGGAAACGAUGUGGGAAGGCUCAGACAGCUAGGAUGUUGGCUUAGAAGCAGCCAUCAUUUAAAGAAAGCGUAAUAGCUCACUAGUCGAGUCGGCCUGCGCGGAAGAUGUAACGGGGCUCAAACCAGGCACCGAAGCCGCGGAUUCACACUAAGUGUGAGUGGUAGGGGAGCGUUCUGUAAGUCUGCGAAGGUGUGUCGAGAGGCAUGCUGGAGAUAUCAGAAGUGCGAAUGCUGACGUAAGUAACGAUAAAGGGGGUGAAAAGCCUCCUCGCCGGAAGACCAAGGGUUCCUGUCCAACGUUAAUCGGGGCAGGGUGAGUCGACCCCUAAGGCGAGGCCGAAAGGCGUAGUCGAUGGGAAGCAGGUUAAUAUUCCUGCACGACUUGUAAUUGCGAUGGGGGGACGGAGAAGGCUAGGUGGGCCAGGCGACGGUUGUCCUGGUGAAAGUGCGUAGGUGGUGUUUCUAGGCAAAUCCGGAGACACAACACUGAGACACGAGACGAACACACUACGGUGUGGAAGCCAUUGAUGCCCUGCUUCCAGGAAAAGCCUCUAAGCUUCAGAUUACAAGUCAUCGUACCCCAAACCGACACAGGUGGUCGGGUAGAGAAUACCAAGGCGCUUGAGAGAACUCGGGUGAAGGAACUAGGCAAAAUAGAACCGUAACUUCGGGAGAAGGUUCGCUCUUGACAGUGAAGUCCCUUGCGGAUGGAGCAGUUGGGAGUCGCAGUGACCAGAUGGCUGGGACUGUUUAUCAAAAACACAGCACUCUGCAAACACGAAAGUGGACGUAUAGGGUGUGACACCUGCCCGGUGCCGGAAGGUUAAUUGAUGGGGUUAGCGCAAGCGAAGCUCUUGAUCGAAGCCCCGGUAAACGGCGGCCGUAACUAUAACGGUCCUAAGGUAGCGAAAUUCCUUGUCGGGUAAGUUCCGACCUGCACGAAUGGUGUAACCAUGGCCAUGCUGUCUCCACCCGAGACUCAGUGAAAUCGAAUUCGCCGUGAAGAUGCGGUGUACCCGCGGCUAGACGGAAAGACCCCGUGAACCUUUACUACAGCUUGGCACUGAACAUUGAACCUACAUGUGUAGGAUAGGUGGGAGGCUUUGAAGGCGUGACGCCAGUUGCGCUGGAGCCGUCCUUGAAAUACCACCCUUGUAUGUUUGAUGUUCUAACGCAGGCCCGUGAAUCCGGGUCGCGGACAGUGCCUGGUGGGUAGUUUGACUGGGGCGGUCUCCUCCCAAAGAGUAACGGAGGAGCACGAAGGUUGGCUAAUCCUGGUCGGACAUCAGGAGGUUAGUGCAAUGGCAUAAGCCAGCUUAACUGCGAGACGGACAGGUCGAGCAGGUACGAAAGUAGGUCAUAGUGAUCCGGUGGUUCUGAAUGGAAGGGCCAUCGCUCAACGGAUAAAAGGUACUCCGGGGAUAACAGGCUGAUACCGCCCAAGAGUUCAUAUCGACGGCGGUGUUUGGCACCUCGAUGUCGGCUCAUCACAUCCUGGGGCUGAAGUCGGUCCCAAGGGUAUGGCUGUUCGCCAUUUAAAGUGGUACGCGAGCUGGGUUCAGAACGUCGUGAGACAGUUCGGUCCCUAUCUGCCGUGGGCGUUGGAUGAUUGAAGGGAGUUGCUCCUAGUACGAGAGGACCGGAGUGAACGAACCUCUGGUGUUCGGGUUGUCACGCCAGUGGCACUGCCCGGUAGCUAAGUUCGGAAUCGAUAACCGCUGAAAGCAUCUAAGCGGGAAGCGAGCCCUGAGAUGAGUCAUCCCUGACCCCUUGAGGGUCCUAAAGGGCCGUUGGAGACCACAACGUUGAUAGGUGGGGUGUGUAAGCGCGGCGACGUGUUGAGCUAACCCAUACUAAUUACCCGUGAGGCUUAACCAU
rnacentral:rRNA from 1 species